AAUGCCCUGCUGUGUUCGUGAUGCGGCACUCUAUGUUUUGAGCCAACACCUUAAAAAAUGGGUUCUUGUCUUCCGAAAAUGACGCGAUAGGCGAAAGCCAAGGCGGAGCUAACGAGGAAGAACCCGUCCUGCGCAAGCAGGUUCAAAACUACGCCACACACGGCAUAGCGGGGAGUAU
rnacentral:other from 1 species